rnacentral:piRNA from 1 species
UGGGGCAGCACCACAUUUCUGCAAUGGAC